rnacentral:rRNA from 1 species
GACGAACGCUGGCGGCGUGCUUAACACAUGCAAGUCGAACGGUAAGGCUCCAGCUUGCUGGGGUACACGAGUGGCGAACGGGUGAGUAACACGUGGGUGACCUGCCCUGCACUUCGGGAUAAGCCUGGGAAACUGGGUCUAAUACCGGAUAGGACCAUGGUGUGGAUACUGUGGUGGAAAGUUUUUUCGGUGUGGGAUGGGCCCGCGGCCUAUCAGCUUGUUGGUGGGGUAAUGGCCUACCAAGGCGGCGACGGGUAGCCGGCCUGAGAGGGUGGACGGCCACAUUGGGACUGAGACACGGCCCAGACUCCUACGGGAGGCAGCAGUGGGGAAUAUUGCACAAUGGGCGGAAGCCUGAUGCAGCGACGCCGCGUGGGGGAUGACGGCCUUCGGGUGGUAAACUCCUUUCACCAUCGACGAAGGGUUUCUGACGGUAGAUGGAGAAGAAGCACCGGCUAACUACGU